rnacentral:misc_RNA from 1 species
UUUCUAUAUGUAACUUCAUGAGUAAAACCAUAAAUAAAUCAAAACUUUCAACAACGGAUCUCUUGGUUCUGGCAUCGAUGAAGAACGCAGCAAAAUGCGAUAAGUAAUGUGAAUUGCAGAAUUCAGUGAAUCAUCGAAUCUUUGAACGCACAUUGCGCCCGCCAGUAUUCUGGCGGGCAUGCCUGUUCGAGCGUCAUUUCAACCCUCAAGCCCAGCUUGGUGUUGGGACUCGCGAGUCAAAUCGCGUUCCCCAAAUUGAUUGGCGGUCACGUCGAGCUUCCAUAGCGUAGUAGUAAAACCCUCGUUACUGGUAAUCGUCGCGGCCACGCCGUUAAACCCCAACUUCUGAAUGUUGACCUCGGAUCAGGUAGGAAUACCCGC